GCCCGCAGCGAUACUGACGUGCAAA
rnacentral:snRNA from 1 species